rnacentral:rRNA from 1 species
ACGAACGCUGGCGGCAUGCCUAACACAUGCAAGUCGAACGAGACCUUCGGGUCUAGUGGCGCACGGGUGCGUAACGCGUGGGAACCUGCCCUUAGGUUCGGAAUAACCCCCCGAAAGGGGUGCUAAUACCGGAUAAUGUCUUCGGACCAAAGAUUUAUCGCCUUUGGAUGGGCCCGCGUUGGAUUAGCUAGUUGGUAGGGUAAAAGCCUACCAAGGCGACGAUCCAUAGCUGGUCUGAGAGGAUGAUCAGCCACACUGGGACUGAGACACGGCCCAGACUCCUACGGGAGGCAGCAGUGGGGAAUAUUGGACAAUGGGCGAAAGCCUGAUCCAGCAAUGCCGCGUGAGUGAUGAAGGCCUUAGGGUUGUAAAGCUCUUUUACCCGGGAUGAUAAUGACAGUACCGGGAGAAUAAGCUCCGGCUAACUCCGUG